rnacentral:rRNA from 1 species
AUAUCUCUGUAGAGUCUGCAUAUCAAUAAGCGGAGGAAAAGAAACUAACAAGGAUUCCCUUAGUAACGGCGAGUGAAGCGGGAAGAGCUCAAAUUUGAAAUCUUCAAGGUUUUACCUUGACGAAUUGUAGUUUAAAGAAGUGUUUUCUGUUGAAGUUUCGGUAAAAGUUCUUUGGAAUAGGACAUCAUAGAGGGUGAGAAUCCCGUAUUUGACCGUUAUUUUCAGCUGUGUGAUACACUUUCAAAGAGUCGGAUUGUUUGGGAAUGCAGUCCAAAAUGGGUGGUAAAUUUCAUCUAAAGCUAAAUAUUGGCGAGAGACCGAUAGCGAACAAGUACCGUGAGGGAAAGAUGAAAAGAACUUUGGAAAAGAGAGUUAAACAGUACGUGAAAUUGUCAAAAGGGAAGCGUUUGACACCAGUGUUGUUUUCUCGAAAAUCAAUUAAAAAUGGCUUGAUUUUGUGUUGUAUUGACCUUAAAAGCUUUCUUCACUUUUUUCAUGUCUUUUUUAAUGCACUUUUCGUUUAACAAGUCAACAUCAGUUUCUUUUGUUGUAAAAAGGUCAUUGGAAGGUGGCUUUCUUUUCGGAGAAAGUGUUUAUAGCCUUUGACUUCUGCAAUCGGAGAACUGAGGUCUGCAGCGUAGAUCCUUCUGGAUUAGAUUCAUUUGUGCUAAGUUACAACCGUUUAUAGACAACUUGUUGACUAUAUUCGAUCCUGUAGCUUACUCGCUUAUGUAAUUUUACCUACGCUUAGGAUGUUGAUAUGCAUGACUGAUAU